CCUACGGGUGGCAGCAGUCGAGAAUCAUUCACAAUGGGGGAAACCCUGAUGGUGCGACGUCGCGUGGGGGAAUGCAGGUCUUCGGAUUGUAAACCCCUGUCAUGCGGGAGCAAAUUAAAAAGAUAGUACCACACGAGGAAGACACGGCUAACUCUGUGCCAGCAGCCGCGGUAAUACAGAGGGCUCAAGCGUUGUUCGGAAUCACUGGGCGUAAAGCGUGCGUAGGCUGUUUCGUAAGUCGUGUGUGAAAGGCGCGGGCUCAACCCGCGGACGGCACAGGGUACUGCGGGACUUGAGUAAGGGGAGGGUAACCGGAAUUCUCGGUGUAGCAGUGAAAUGCGUAGAUAUCGAGAGGAACACUCGUGGCGAAGGCGGGUUCCUGGAGAUUAACUGACGCUGAGGCACGAAGGCGAGGGGAGCGAAAGGGAUUAGAUACCCUUGUAGUC
rnacentral:rRNA from 1 species